ensembl:lncRNA
AAUGAGUCAGGGCUUUGGCAGUGUGCCAUGAGCUGAUCACACUCACUCACGUGAGAGCGACCUGCAUUCCAUUGCAUGUCUACAGACAAAGGAAUUCUCCAGUUGAAACAUUAUUGAAGAUUUAUGAUAAAAACAUCCUAAAGAUUGAUUCUAUACUUCGUUUGACAUGUUUCUUCAAACUGUAAAAUCACCGGAUGUUUUGGAAGCAAAACUGAACGUAACGUGCCAAUGUAAACUGAGAUUUUUGGAUAUAAAUAUGAACCUUAUCGAACAAAACAUACAUGUAUUGUGUAACAUGAAGUCCUAUGAGUGUCAUCUGAUGAAGAUCAUCAAAGAAUUUGGAGUCCUGCAAUUUCACUGGCUGUUGGCGAGGUGGGACGCUAUCGUCCCACAUAUCCCAGAGAGGUUAAAUAUCAAGGCAUUAAACCCCUCUCUUAAAGCUUCUAUUAUACCGAAACUAUCUAAAUCCAAACUAGUUUCCAAGUAGGCUCCUAAGAGAGUCUGUGUGCAUGUCCAAAUAUGACUUCUGGAAUACCUUGUGAAAAAUGCACAUGUGAUUCCCAUUGGAUAUCAAUGGGAGUUCAUAGAACCCUCAUGAACUGUCAUAGAACACCCUAUCUGAAGGAGAUAGAGCUGCAAUAUUGGUUGGAGGAAGAGGAGGAAGAGGAGGAAGAGGCAUCAAAAGGCAGGGGACUAAGGGAGAAAAAAAAAGUGUCGCAAAACUCAAGAUUUCUCCUCAGACAAUGAAGAAGAGGUGAAGAAGCUGUCAAUGAAAAAGCAAGCACAUCAGUUGAAAACGAAAAACCUGAGUAGCUGGUGUGUGCGGUCACCAAAAUGCCGGAGGAUUUAAAGAGAGAGGACUUUGUUGAUCUAAGCUUUGGUGUUCAGGUGGCCAAGGAGAAGUUCCUGAUCAACAACAAAAAACAAGACCUGAUUGAGGUGCUCUUCACCAGGGAGGAGAUGGUGUUGUUCUCCGUGUCGGGCAGGAAAUCAAACAUCGUUCAAGAUUCUGUGACAAAGCCAGCUUUGUCAAGCAACAAAGUGCUCGCUCUUGUUGGGGGCAGCAGUGAGCUGAAGAGUUUCUUCUCGAGAGGCUCUGCUGAAUUGAAGAGUGAAAUGAGGAGACACAGAGAGCUUGCAUCCAAAGCAGAGUCCUGUCUCAGAGUGGAUGAUGCUGGCCAGAGUUGUUUGCAAGGUAUUGUCUGGCAGCUCCUCUGAUUUGAUGAAAUCCAUAAUGGCCUUAUAAAAGUUACCGAGGGCAACUGGAAUAGCUACUCUCUCCUCUUCCUCGGAGAUGGCCGGUUGAUGAAUAUAGAACCCAAGCUGUCAGUUGUGAGGCGGAGAGACGUCUCGGAGGUUGCCUGUCAGUCAUUGGGGGAACGUGUCAGAAAGUGAAAAGGCAGCGUUAAGACGUCAGACACAUUUACAUUGAGCCCUGUCUGCUGGAGAAAGCCUCUCCCUCACCAGUGACCAAUGUUGAUUCUACAAUAACGGCCGCGACGCAGCGCUGCAAAAAUCUUUUUCUUUCAGCGAGCGAACCCCCUCGUCCUAUUAGACCUGAUGCUGUGUGAAAUCCACCCUCACCAUUUCCUCUAGCUACCUGGAAAAGUAAAGAAACAUGAAUAUGGGCUCCGAGGAGAGGCUACAAUAUUCACGUACGUGUACACACACUCAGGCACACACUUCAGUCUCCGGCUCUUUAUUUGUCUGUGCCUGGGAAGGCCGAGGCCUCUUGCAGCCCAAGCGACCUAAGCAACAGCUGGUGUGCACAGACACAUUUCCUAUUUCUGCCCAAGGUGGAUCAUAUAACUCUCACUUUAUCACCCUUGGAGGCCAUGUGAAGGACAAAAUGAGCACGCCCAUAAACAAAACUAAUGUUUUCAUACUGGCCCUCUGGAGGUGGUAGAAGGGGC